AUUGAACGCUGGCGGCAGGCCUAACACAUGCAAGUCGAACGAGUGGCGGACGGGUGCGUAAUGUCUGGGAAUCUGCCUGAUGGCGGGGGAUAACUACUGGAAACGGUAGCUAAUACCGCAUACCAUCAUAUGAGCCCAGAUGGGAUUAGCUAGUUGGUGAGGUAAAGGCUUACCAAGGCGACGAUCCCUAGCUGGUCUGAGAGGAUGACCAGCCAAACUGGAACUGAGACACGGCCCAGACUCCUACGGGAGGCAGCAGUGGGGAAUAUGGCACAAUGGGCGCAAGCCUGAUGCAGCCAUGCCGCGUGUAUGAAGAAGGCCUUCGGGUUGUAAAGUACUUUCAGCGGGGAGGCGUUACCGACAGAAGAAGCACCGGCUAACUCCGUGCCAGCAGCCGCGGUAAUAC
rnacentral:rRNA from 1 species